rnacentral:tRNA from 1 species
GGAGCGACAGGGGCCGGUGCCCCAGCUGGUCUUCAAAACCAGUCCGGCGUGGCAGCCCCACGCUUGCUCGGUUCGACUCCGGGGUCGCUCCG